rnacentral:rRNA from 1 species
AGCGGCGAACGGGUGAGGAAUACAUGGGUAACCUACCCUCGAGUGGGGAAUAACUAACCGAAAGGUUAGCUAAUACCGCAUACGGCUCCUGGUCUGCGGAUCGGGAGAGAAAGCGAUACCGUGGGUAUCGCGCUCUUGGAUGGGCUCAUGUCCUAUCAGCUUGUUGGUGAGGUAACGGCUCACCAAGGCUUCGACGGGUAGCUGGUCUGAGAGGACGAUCAGCCACACUGGCACUGCGACACGGGCCAGACUCCUACGGGAGGCAGCAGUAAGGAAUAUUGCGCAAUGGGCGACAGCCUGACGCAGCGACGCCGCGUGGGGGAUGAAGGUCUUCGGAUUGUAAACCCCUUUCGGCAGGGAAGAUGGAACGGGUAACCGUUCGGACGGUACCUGCAGAAGCAGCCACGGCUAACUUCGCGCCAGCAGCCGCGGUAAUACGAAGGUGGCAAGCGUUGUUCGGAUUUACUGGGCGUACAGGGAGCGUAGGCGGUUGGGUAAGCCCUCCGUGAAAUCUCCGGGCCUAACCCGGAAAGUGCGGAGGGGACUGCUCGGCUAGAGGAUGGGAGAGGAGCGCGGAAUUCCCGGUGUAGCGGUGAAAUGCGUAGAGAUCGGGAGGAAGGCCGGUGGCGAAGGCGGCGCUCUGGAACAUUUCUGACGCUGAGGCUCGAAAGCGUGGGGAGCAAACAGGAUUAGAUACCCU